GGGCGGGGCCUUCUGUGGCGCCACUUCCUCCUCCAGCCAGCUUUAGCCUGCUUUCCUUCUGUUGUCGCCCACUUUCCUUCAUUUUCGCUCUCUUUCCUUACGGAUAUCGGCCCCUUUUCUUCCUCUCAUAGCCCGCGUAGGUGUCCAGAUGCUCCCGAAACGGCGGCGAGUGCGGGUCGGCUGUCCCGGUGGUGCUGUCACUUCCUCCACUUCGCCCUUAGUGCUCUUUCCCGGCGUCGCCAUCUACCUGGCUGAACCGCGCAUGGGCCGUAGCCGCCGGGCCUUUCUCACACGCCUGGCGCUGUCGAAGGGCUUCCGUGUCCUCGAAGUCUACAGGUGUGCCUACCUCUGCGUGGGGCACUGCGAAGAUCUGAUGUUGGUGUGGGGCCGGCUAAGCAGGCUUUUUCGCUGGGCCCGUUCAGAGACCCAGGUGACACAUAGCAUGCUCCUGCGGGGCGGCUGCACCUGCGUUAUUGGAUUCCAAAUUAUCUGUGGCUCUUUGGUCAAGUAAUCUUUCUUGAAAGGGAUUUUUAAAAAUUUUUAGGUACUGGGUAUUGAAUCCAAGGGCCCUUUACUGCAGAGCUACAUCCCCAGCCCUUUUUAUUUUUAUUUUUUUAAAGAUAGGGUCUUGCUAAGUUGCAGAGGCUGGCCUUGAACUUUUGAUCCUCCUGUGCCAGCUUUCCCAGUCACUCAGAUUACAGGCAUAGAGCCACAAUCCCAGCAAAGUUGCUAUUAAGAUUGCUAGGAAUGUUCCACAGGAUUAUUGACAAUCAAGCCAGAGGCUUUUCAAAGAGCCAUUCAGGGGAGAGGUAAUUACAAGUAGUAUUUGCCCACGUGCCCUAGAAGCCACAUUGAGCCAUCCUGAAACCUUGAACCUGGAAUAUAACUGGCGCUCUCAUAGGGAGGCAAUCAAGACAGUGCCCAGAGAGAGUAGUUUUGAGAUGGGGAAGCUAAGUGGACUUGGGACCAGUGCUUCCCAAAGCUUUUAUUUACUAUUUUGUAUUUAAACAUCUCCAGGGAAGGAUAGUGCACCAGACCCGCUCACACAGUGCACAUGAUGCAACUUUUACAAUAGCUCUACCAGGUAGUAGUUAUUUCUGUUUUAUAGAGGAGGAUGAAGGGAGACUAGACUUGCCCAAGGGCACACAGCAAGUUCUCAGGGCUGGGGUUCAGACAAAAGUAUGCACUGUCCGGCAUCUGUGCUUAAAUCCUAGCUCUUAAAUAAAGACCAUGUGGUGCCAGACCAUAAGGCAUUCCUUUCUCUGAGGUUGAGAAGGAUACAGGCAAGUCAACACAAAGCCAGGUUGGCUUGUGAGCAUAACUGGAGCAGAAAACCUCAAUAUAAGAGCGGUGGAAAUUUUCAUACACCAGGAGGGGCUUGAGAAGGCUUUCUGGAAGAGGUGGCAUUUGAAGAAUGAAAGGCAGUCACCAUGCAGAGGGGACAGCAACAAUAAAAGCUUAAAGGUAUGGAGCCAAACAGGAAGGUCAAUGGAUUUCACAGUCCUCCUCUGCCUUUGCCCAGCUCCGAGGUGACACAUGUGGUGAUGGAACAGACCUCAGUGAAGGAGGCCAUCUGCUGGCAGAAGCACAUGGCUGCUGCUCUCCCGUGCUGUCCCCACCCAGCUCUGCUGGACAUCAGCUGGUUCACAGAAAGCAUGGCAGCUGGGCAGCCUGUCCCUGUGGAGGACCGGCAUCGCCUGGAGGUAAGACAGUUCAGGCCUAACUCAGUUGGGAUAGGUGAUGCGCAGCAGCAGUGCCCCAGUGCCCUCCAGAGGGCUCUGCUCAGAUCACCUGGGGUGCCUGAGAAUCAGCAGAGAAGCCAUGGCAAGAGCUGGGGCUGGACCAUCCCAGCUUCUGUCCUCACCACUUGAGGUUCACUUAUGUUUAGCUUCUUCAUGCCUUCCAAAGUGGGGCAGCCCCUGCAGCUGGGGCUUCACUUCUUCCUCAAUGAGUAAUUGGGAUGAUCCAUGGAUUGGUAGGAGCCUAUCCUUGGGACUCUAGAGAGCUAGACUGCUUGUACUCAAAUCCUGGCUCUACCUGUGAGCCAUGAGGGAGGAGGCAUGCUCCCUAACCUUGAAACUUUAGUGUCCCCAGCCCACUUGAUUGUGAGGAUUUGGGGAGGCAGGAAAAGUGCACUGUGAGGAUUAACAGAUUAUUGCUACUACUCUGGUCUGAAGAGCCUUGUCCUCAGUUUGUUCUGCAAUGUAGUCUGUCUGUCCCUCCAUAUAGGGCUCUGAACCACCAAGACCCAUUGCUGUGUCUCCCUCUGCCCAUGCCUGUAGUUCACUACCUCUGUCCUGUGAACUCUAGAGGGCCCAAGGUGAAUGCUCAGGAGAGUCAGGACUCUGAUUGCUGCCUGUUUCUGUCAGCCCUGAAGCCUCAUGAUCUGUGCAUUGCCCUUCUGCAGGUGGUUGAGCCCAGGAAUGAGCCCCCAAGCCUAGUGUGGGUGUCGAUUUAUGCCUGCCAGCGUCCCACACCCCUCACACACCACAAUACCAUCCUCUCGGUGAGUCAUGUCUGUGAGAAAUUUUUAGCUUUCAGGGGACAGGGACAUGGGUACAGCUGGAUGGUAGCUGGUAGAUUGAAGCAAAGUGUCCUGCCCACUCUGCCCCUUAACCAAGGGCCUCUCCCUGCAGGAGGCCUUGGAGACUCUGGCAGAGGCAGCAGGCUUCGAAGGCAGUGAGGGCCGCCUCCUUUCCUUCCGCAGAGCAGCCUCUGUGCUCAGGGCCCUUCCUUGCC
rnacentral:lncRNA from 1 species